rnacentral:rRNA from 2 species
CACACGACUCUCGGCAACGGAUAUCUCGGCUCUCGCAUCGAUGAAGAACGUAGCGAAAUGCGAUACCUGGUGUGAAUUGCAGAAUCCCGCGAACCAUCGAGUCUUUGAACGCAAGUUGCGCCCGAGGCCUUUGGGCCGAGGGCACGCCUGCCUGGGCGUCACG